rnacentral:rRNA from 1 species
UACGUAGGUGGCAAGCGUUGUCCGGAUUUAUUGGGUUUAAAGGGUGCGUAGGCGGCCCUGUAAGUCAGUGGUGAAAUAUCUCAGCUUAACUGAGAGGGUGCCAUUGAUACUGCGGAGCUUGAGUACAGAUGAGGUAGGCGGAAUUGACGGUGUAGCGGUGAAAUGCAUAGAUAUCGUCAAGAACACCGAUAGCGAAGGCAGCUUACCAAGCUGUAACUGACGCUGAGGCACGAAAGUGUGGGGAUCAAACAGGAUUAGAAACCCUCGUAGUCC